GACGAACGCUGGCGGCGUGCCUAAUACAUGCAAGUAGAACGCACAGUUUAUACCGUAGCUUGCUACACCAUAGACUGUGAGUUGCGAACGGGUGAGUAACGCGUAGGUAACCUGCCUGGUAGCGGGGGAUAACUAUUGGAAACGAUAGCUAAUACCGCAUAAUAUUGAUUAUUGCAUGAUAAUUGAUUGAAAGAUGCUAUUGCAUCACUACCAGAUGGACCUGCGUUGUAUUAGCUAGUAGGUGAGGUAACGGCUCACCUAGGCGACGAUACAUAGCCGACCUGAGAGGGUGAGCAGCCACACUGGGACUGAGACACGGCCCAGACUCCUACGGGAGGCAGCAGUAGGGAAUCUUCGGCAAUGGACGAAAGUCUGACCGAGCAACGCCGCGUGAGUGAAGAAGGUUUUCGGAUCGUAAAGCUCUGUUGUAAGAGAAGAACGGGUGUGAGAGUGGAAAGUUCACACUGUGACGGUAUCUGACCAGAAAGGGACGGCUAACUACGUG
rnacentral:rRNA from 1 species